UACGUAGGGACCAAGCGUUGUUCGGAUUUACUGGGCGUAAAGGGCGCGUAGGCGGCAUGACAAGUCACUUGUGAAAUCUCCGGGCUUAACUCGGAACGGCCAAGUGAAACUGUCAAGCUAGAGUGCGGAAGGGGCAAUCGGAAUUCUUGGUGUAGCGGUGAAAUGCGUAGAUAUCUGGAGGAACACCGGUGGCGAAGGCGGCAUCCUGGACCGGUAUUGACGCUGAGGCGCGAAAGCCAGGGGAGCAAACGGG
rnacentral:rRNA from 1 species